rnacentral:rRNA from 1 species
UACGAAGGGGGCUAGCGUUGCUCGGAAUCACUGGGCGUAAAGGACGCGUAGGCGGCCGAUUGAAGUCGGGGGUGAAAGCCUGUGGCUCAACCACAGAAUUGCCUCGAUACUGGUUGGCUUGAGACCGGAAGAGGACAGCGGAACUGCGAGUGUAGAGGUGAAAUUCGUAGAUAUUCGCAAGAACACCAGUGGCGAAGGCGGCUGUCUGGUCCGGUUCUGACGCUGAGGCGCGAAAGCGUGGGGAGCAAACAGG